rnacentral:rRNA from 1 species
CAGAGGUGGCAAGCGUUGUUCGGAAUUACUGGGCGUAAAGGGCGCGUAGGCGGUCGCCUAAGUCGGACGUGAAAUCCCCAAGCUUAACUUGGGAACGUGCGUCCGAUACUGGGUGACUUGAGUUCGGGAGAGGAAUGUGGAAUUCCAGGUGUAGCGGUGAAAUGCGUAGAUAUCUGGAGGAACACCGGUGGCGAAGGCGGCAUUCUGGACCGAAACUGACGCUGAGGCGCGAAAAGCCAGGGGAGCAAACGGGAUU